UACGUAGGAUGCAAGCGUUGUCCGGAAUUAUUGGGCGUAAAGAGCGAGCAGGCGGUGUACCAAGUCAGAUGUGAAAUAUCCCGGCUUAACCGGGAGGGGCCAUUUGAAACUGGUAGACUAGAGUGGAGCAGAGGACAGUGGAAUUCCUGGUGUAGCGGUGAAAUGCGCAGAUAUCAGGAGGAACACCGGUGGCGAAGGCGGGUCUCUGGGCAACAACUGACGCUGAGGAGCGAAAGCGUGGGGAGCGAACAGG
rnacentral:rRNA from 1 species